rnacentral:rRNA from 1 species
GAUGAACGCUGGCGGCGUGCCUAAUACAUGCAAGUCGAGCGAACGGACGAGAAGCUUGCUUCUCUGAUGUUAGCGGCGGACGGGUGAGUAACACGUGGAUAACCUACCUAUAAGACUGGGAUAACUUCGGGAAACCGUAGCUAAUACCGGAUAAUAUUUUGAACCGCAUGGUUCAAAAGUGAAAGACGGUCUUGCUGUCACUUAUAGGUGGAUCCGCGCUGCAUUAGCUAGUUGGUAAGGUAACGGCUUACCAAGGCAACGAUGCAUAGCCGACCUGAGAGGGUGAUCGGCCACACUGGAACUGAGACACGGCCCAGACUCCGACGGGAGGCAGCAGUAGGGAAUCUUACGCAAUGGGCGAAAGCCUGACGGAGCAACGCCGCGUGAGUGAUGAAGGUCUUCGGAUCGUAAAACUCUGUUAUUAGGGAAGAACAUAUGUGUAAGUAACUGUGCACAUCUUGACGGUACCUAAUCAGAAAGCCACGGCUAACUACGUG